UACGGUCUUAUCAAGUUGAAACACGGUUCUCAUACGAUCAGCGAAGUUAAGCAACGUCGAUCCUGCUCAGUACCUAGUUGGGUGACCGCUUGGAAAUACCAGUUGCCGCAUG